GGGACCACUUCUGUUUACAGUCUACACCAUUAGUCUUGCAUCUCUGCUGGAUGUCCGUAGAUGCUCGGGGUGUUGGCUACCGUUUCUAUGCUGAUGAUAAUGAAAUCCUUAAUGUCUGAUACGUAUUAAGAUUGGGAUGGCUUUGAGAAAACUUGGACUGAAUAAUCGCAGAACCAAGAUUAUCGUCAUCCAGGGAAAUAUGAAGGGAGAAGACACAGAUGAUUGGGCUCCUUUAUACAGUACUUUGGGGAAAUGAAGCUUCAAGGACCAGCAACACAUUUCAGUAUGACCAGUACAGACUCAACCAUACACACUGUCCAGACCUAUACAGUAUAUUAUGACGGCACCAAUGACAACUGAUGAAACACAGUUGAUCUGUGGGAGAUAAGGAAACCUCAAGAGCACAAUACACAGAAGUCUUGGAAGAACUCUGAAGAAAACAGUACGAGACAUACCAAAAGGUACUUUCUCCAUCACUGCCUAAAGUGGACCUGAAUUUAGUUGGACCUGAUGUGAAUUAGUCUAAAGUGGGCUGGACCUAAAGUUAAUUGGACCUGCAGUGAACUAGACCUGAAGUUAACUGGGCCUACAGGAC